UAAGGAAUAUUGGUCAAUGGACGCAAGUCUGAACCAGCCAUGCCGCGUGAAGGAUUAAGGUCCUCUGGAUUGUAAACUUCUUUUAUCUGGGACGAAAAAAGGCGAUUCUUCGUCACUUGACGGUACCAGAUGAAUAAGCACCGGCUAACUCCGUGCCAGCAGCCGCGGUAAUACGGAGGGUGCAAGCGUUAUCCGGAUUCACUGGGUUUAAAGGGUGCGUAGGCGGGCAGGUAAAGUCAGUGGUGAAAUCCUGGAGCUUAACUCCAGAACUGCCAUUGAUACUAUCUGUCUUGAAUAUUGUGGAGGUAAGCGGAAUAUGUCAUGUAGCGGUGAAAUGCUUAGAUAUGACAUAGAACACCUAUUGCGAAGGCAGCUUACUACGCAUAUAUUGACGCUGAGGCACGAAAGCGUGGGGAUCAAACAGGAUUAGAUACCCUGGUAGUCCACGCCCUAAACGAUGGAUACUCGACAUACGCGAUACACUGUGUGUGUCUGAGCGAAAGCAUUAAGUAUCCCCACCUGGGGAAGUACGACCGCAAGGUUGAAACUCAAAUGAAUUGACGGGGUCAUAGCUGUUU
rnacentral:rRNA from 1 species